rnacentral:rRNA from 1 species
AGAGUUUGAUCUGGCUCAGGAUGAACGCUAGCGACAGGCUUAACACAUGCAAGUCGAGGGGCAGCGGGGGAGUAGCAAUACUUCUGCCGGCGACCGGCGCACGGGUGAGUAACACGUAUGAAACCUGCCCGCAGCAGGGGGAUAAGCGGAAGAAAUUCCGUCUAAUACCGCGUAACAUCCAUCGGAGGCAUCUCCGGUGGAUUAAAGGAGCGAUCCGGCUGCGGAUGGUCAUGCGGCGCAUUAGCUAGUUGGCGGGGUAACGGCCCACCAAGGCGACGAUGCGUAGGGGUUCUGAGAGGAAGGUCCCCCACACUGGUACUGAGACACGGACCAGACUCCUACGGGAGGCAGCAGUGAGGAAUAUUGGUCAAUGGCCGAGAGGCUGAACCAGCCAAGUCGCGUGAGGGAAGACGGCCCUACGGGUUGUAAACCUCUUUUGUCAGGGAGCAAAGAACGCCACGAGUGGCGUCUCGAGAGUGCCUGAAGAAAAAGCAUCGGCUAACUCCGUGCCAGCAGCCGCGGUAAUACGGAGGAUGCGAGCGUUAUCCGGAUUUAUUGGGUUUAAAGGGUGCGCAGGCGGGCUGUCAAGUCAGCGGUAAAAUUGAGAGGCUCAACCUCUUCGAGCCGUUGAAACUGGCGGUCUUGAGUGAGCGAGAAGUACGCGGAAUGCGUGGUGUAGCGGUGAAAUGCAUAGAUAUCACGCAGAACUCCGAUUGCGAAGGCAGCGUACCGGCGCUCAACUGACGCUCAUGCACGAAAGCGUGGGUAUCGAACAGGAUUAGAUACCCUGGUAGUCCACGCAGUAAACGA